rnacentral:rRNA from 1 species
GUGUCAGCCGCCGCGGUAAGACAGAGGGUGCAAACGUUGUUCGGAAUUACUGGGCGUAAAGCGUGUGUAGGCGGUCCACUAAGUCGGGUGUGAAAGCCCUGGGCUCAACCCAGGAAGUGCACUCGAAACUGGCGGGCUAGAGUAUCGGAGAGGUUGGUGGAAUUCUCGGUGUAGAGGUGAAAUUCGUAGAUAUCGAGAGGAACACCGGUGGCGAAGGCGGCCAACUGGACGAAUACUGACGCUGAGACACGAAAGCGUGGGGAGCAAACAGGAUUAGAUACCCCUGUAGUCC